UACGUAGGGUGCGAGCGUUGUCCGGAAUUAUUGGGCGUAAAGAGCUCGUAGGCGGUCUGUCGCGUCGAUCGUGAAAACUUGGGGCUUAACCCUGAGCUUGCGGUCGAUACGGGCAUGACUGGAGUUCGGCAGGGGAGACUGGAAUUCCUGGUGUAGCGGUGAAAUUCGUAGAUAUCGGGAGGAACACCGGUGGCGAAGGCGGCGACCUGGGUGGAUACUGACGCUGAGGCGCGAAAGCGUGGGGAGCAAACAGG
rnacentral:rRNA from 1 species